UAGAUACCCUGGUAGUCCACGCGGUAAACGAUGAAUACUAGGUGUUGGUGCCCAAAGGGCAUCGGUGCCGUCGCAAACGCAAUAAGUAUUCCACCUGGGGAGUACGUUCGCAAGAAUGAAACUCAAAGGAAUUGACGGGGACCCGCACAAGCAGUGGAGCAUGUGGUUUAAUUCGAAGCAACGCGAAGAACCUUACCAAAUCUUGACAUCCUUCUGACCGCACCGUAAUGGGUGCUUUCCUUCGGGACAG
rnacentral:rRNA from 1 species